rnacentral:rRNA from 1 species
AUACCUUAGUACGGCGAGUGAAGCGGCAAAAGCUCAAUUUGAAAUCUGGCGUCUUCGACGUCCGAGCUUGUAAUUUGAAGAAGGCGACUUUGUAGCUGGUCCUUGUCUAUGUUCCUUGGAACAGGACGUCAUAGAGGGUGAGAAUCCCGUGUGGCGAGGAUCCCAGUUAUUUGUAAAGUGCUUUCGACGAGUCGAGUUGUUUGGGAAUGCAGCUCUAAGUGGGUGGUAAAUUCCAUCUAAAGCUAAAUAUUGGCGAGAGACCGAUAGCGAACAAGUACAGUGAUGGAAAGAUGAAAAGAACUUUGAAAAGAGAGUGAAAAAGUACGUGAAAUUGUUGAAAGGGAAGGGCAUUUGAUCAGACAUGGCGUUUGCUUCGGCUUUCGCUGGGCCAGCAUCAGUUUUAGCGGUUGGAUAAAUCCUCGGGAAUGUGGCUCUGCUUCGGUAGAGUGUUAUAGCCCGUGGGAAUACAGCCAGCUGGGACUGAGGAUUGCGACUUUUGUCAAGGAUGCUGGCGUAAUGAUUAAAUGCCGCCCGUCUUGAAAC